GUCAGGAUGGCCGAGUUGGUCUAAGGCGCUAGUUUCAGGUACUAGUUCGCAUGGGCAUGGGUUCGAAUCCCAUUUCUGACA
rnacentral:tRNA from 1 species